UAAACUUGUGCUUGGAACCCCAUUCGGGU
rnacentral:sRNA from 1 species